AGAUUGAACGCUGGCGGCAUGCCUUACACAUGCAAGUCGAACGGCAGCACGGGAGCAAUCCUGGUGGCGAGUGGCGAACGGGUGAGUAAUAUAUCGGAACGUGCCCAGUCGUGGGGGAUAACGCAGCGAAAGCUGUGCUAAUACCGCAUACGAUCUAUGGAUAGAAAGGCGGGGGAUCGCAAGACCUCGCGCGA
rnacentral:rRNA from 1 species